rnacentral:rRNA from 1 species
AUUGAACGCUGGCGGCAGGCCUAACACAUGCAAGUCGAGCGAGCGGCGCACGGGUGAGUAAUGUCUGGGAAAAUGCCCGAUGGAGGGGGAGAACUACUGGAAACGGUAGCUAAUACCGCAUACCACCAGAUGUGUCCAGAUGGGAUGAGCUAGAAGGUGGGGUAACGGCUCACCUAGGCGACGAUCCCUAGCUGUUCUGAGAGGAGGACCAGCCCCAAUGGAACUGAGACACGGUCCAGACUCCUACGGGCGGCAGCAGUGGGGAAUAUUGCACAAUGGGCGCAAGCCUGAUGCAGCCAUACCGCGUGUGUGAAGAAGGCCUUCGGGUUGUAAAGCACUUUCAGCGGGGAGGCGUUACCCGCAGAAGAAGCACCGGCUAACUCCGUGCCAGCAUCCGCGGUAAUUC